CCCUUAGAUGUCCUGGGCCGCACGCGCGCUACACUGAGUGUCUGAGAUACGAGUCUGCCUGGUCCGGCAAGGUCUAGGUAAUCGCUAAAAGACACAUCAUGCUUGGGAUAGAUUAUUGCAAAUAUUAAUCUUGAACGAGGAAUUCCUAGUAAGCGCAAGUCAACAGCUUGCGUUGACUACGUCCCUGCCCUUUGUACACACCGCCCGUCGCUACUACUGAUUGGAUGUUUAAGCGAGGUUCUCGAACUGCUAGCGACUUAGCUUCGGUGAGGUCGCAGUGUGGGAAGUGAACCUAGCUUUGGUGUCUAGAGGAAGUAAAAGUCGUAACA
rnacentral:rRNA from 1 species